UACGAAGGGGGCUAGCGUUGUUCGGAAUUAUUGGGCGUAAAGGGCGCGUAGGCGGUGUGGCAAGUCAGGCGUGAAAGCCCCGGGCUCAACCUGGGAACCGCGCUUGAGACUGGCACGCUCGAGUUCGGGAGAGGAUGGUGGAAUUCCCAGUGUAGAGGUGAAAUUCGUAGAUAUUGGGAAGAACACCGAUGGCGAAGGCGGCUCUCUGGGACGGUACUGACGCUGAGACGCGAAAGCGUGGGGAGCGAACAGG
rnacentral:rRNA from 1 species